rnacentral:rRNA from 1 species
UACGGGGGGAGCAAGCGUUGUUCGGAUUUACUGGGCGUAAAGGGCGCGUAGGCGGCGCCGCAAGUCGACUGUGAAAUCUCCGGGCUUAACCCGGAAAGGUCAGCCGAUACUGCGGGGCUAGAGUGCAGAAGGGGCAACCGGAAUUCUCGGUGUAGCGGUGAAAUGCGUAGAUAUCGAGAGGAACACCUGCGGCGAAGGCGGCAUCCUGGACCGACAUUGACGCUGAUGAGCGAAAGCUAGGGGAGCAAACGGG